rnacentral:rRNA from 1 species
UACAGAGGUCUCAAGCGUUGUUCGGAUUCAUUGGGCGUAAAGGGUGCGUAGGCGGCGCGGUAAGUCGGAUGUGAAAUCUCGGAGCUUAACUUCGAAACUGCAUUCGAUACUGCCGUGCUUGAGGACUGGAGAGGAGACUGGAAUUUACGGUGUAGCGGUGAAAUGCGUAGAUAUCAGGAGGAACACCUGUGGUGUAGACAGCUUACUGGACCAUUACUGACGCUGAGGCACGAAAGCGUGGGUAGCAAACAGG